UACGAAGGGGGCUAGCGUUGCUCGGAAUCACUGGGCGUAAAGCGCACGUAGGCGGACUCUUAAGUCGGGGGUGAAAUCCUGGAGCUCAACUUCAGAACUGCCUUCGAUACUGGAAAGCUCGAGUCCGGGAGAGGUGAGUGGAACUGCGAGUGUAGAGGUGAAAUUCGUAGAUAUUCGCAAGAACACCAGUGGCGAAGGCGGCUCACUGGCCCGGUACUGACGCUGAGGUGCGAAAGCGUGGGGAGCAAACAGG
rnacentral:rRNA from 1 species